rnacentral:tRNA from 1 species
AGCUCUAUAGUAUAAAAAUAAUAUUAAAUUGCAAGUUUAAAGAUGUGAUAAACACUAGGGCUU